rnacentral:rRNA from 1 species
CUGAGCCAGGAUCAAACUCUACCGGUCCAACCGACUAGUGUUGCAAAACUAGCGGAUGAGCUGUGGAUAGGGGUGAAAGGCUAAACAAACUUGGAAAUAGCUGGUUCUCUCCGAAAACUAUUUAGGUAGUGCCUCAAGUAUUACCGUCGGGGGUAGAGCACUGUUUUGGCUAGGGGGUCAUGGCGACUUACCAAACCAAGGCAAACUCCGAAUACCGAUGAGUACAGCUUGGGAGACAGAGCACCGGGUGCUAACGUCCGGACUCAAGAGGGAAACAACCCAGACCGCCAGCUAAGGUCCCUAAAAUUGGCUAAGUGGGAAACGAAGUGGGAAGGCUAAAACAGUCAGGAUGUUGGCUUAGAAGCAGCCAUCAUUUAAAGAAAGCGUAAUAGCUCACUGAUCGAGUCGUCCUGCGCGGAAGAUGUAACGGGGCUAAGCCAGUUACCGAAGCUGCGGAUUUGCAAUUUAUUGCAAGUGGUAGGAGGGCGUUCUGUAAGCCUGUGAAGGUGUCUUGUAAAGGAUGCUGGAGGUAUCAGAAGUGCGAAUGCUGACAUGAGUAGCGUUAAAGGGGGUGAAAAGCCCCCUCGCCGUAAGCGCAAGGUUUCCUACGCAACGUUCAUCGGCGUAGGGUGAGUCGGCCCCUAAGGCGAGGCAGAGAUGCGUAGCUGAUGGGAAACAGGUCAAUAUUCCUGUACCGAUUACAAGUGCGAUGUGGGGACGGAUCUUAAUAGGUUAUCCGGCGGUUGGAUGUGCCGGUUUAGACAGAAGUAGGCGACACGUAGGCAAAUCCGCGUGUCAUAUACCGAGGCUGUUGAUCGAGCGAGCUUGCUCGCGAAGUAACUGAACGAGGUCCCAGGAAAAGCCACUAAGCUUCAGCUUGUAAUUGACCGUACCGCAAACCGACACUGGUGCGCGAGAUGAGUAUUCUAAGGCGCUUGAGAGAACUCAGGAGAAGGAACUCGGCAAAUUGACACCGUAACUUCGGAAGAAGGUGUGCCCUAGUAAUGUGAUGAGAACAUCUGAGCAUGAAUGGGUUGCAAAAAAUUGGUGGCUGCGACUGUUUAUUAAAAACACAGCACUCUGCAAACACGAAAGUGGACGUAUAGGGUGUGACGCCUGCCCGGUGCUGGAAGAUUAAUUGAUGGGGUGCAAGCUCUUGAUCGAAGUCCCAGUAAACGGCGGCCGUAACUAUAACGGUCCUAAGGUAGCGAAAUUCCUUGUCGGGUAAGUUCCGACCUGCACGAAUGGCGUAACGAUGGCCACACUGUCUCCUCCUGAGACUCAGUU